GUGAGAGAAUGUGAGGCCUGGAGGGUAGCAUUAGAUGAUGACUUCAGUUUGGAGCCUGUAUUGGUUUAGAUGUGGCAUCCCCCAAAAGCUCACGUGUGAGACAAUGCAAGAAGGUUUGGAGGAGAAAUGAUUGGGUCAUAGCCUUAACCUAAUCAGUGAAUUAAUCCCUGAUGGGACUGACUGAGUGGUAACUGGAAUGAAGAUGAAAGGAAGGAAGGAAGGGAAAGGAAAGAAAAGAAAAAAAAAAUGGGUCUGUGGCGUCCAUGAGAGUUGGAUUUUGACCUGGGAGCCAUCAUCCCUAAGAGUGGAUGGGAUUGCCUAGAAGGGGAGGUGGAGACAGAUUCCAAUAUUCAAGCUGAGACUCCUAAUCUGGGCCUUGUGAGUGGAUUUCCCUGAGUCCAUGUGCCCCUUGAAUUGUACAGGAGAAGCUAGGCAGUAUGGGGUUGUCUUUAAGAGUCUCAAAGGGAUAUAUGACCCACCAAAAUUAAGGACUAUGGAUAUAAGCACCAGGUAUGUAUAAAAAGAUUCAAUGAAGAAGAGUGAUUAGGAAGGGGUGACCAGAGAAAUGGUGAGAAACUCAGGAGAUGUCAGGAGACUAAGGUUGGGUAACUUAGCUAGACCCUGACUCAAAAUUAGGACUGGGGAUAUAGCUUGGGAGUAGAGUGACCCUGGGUUCAAUCCCUAGUACCACCACCAACAAGGUUUUCCUGAGUUGCUUAGGGCCUUGCCUUUACUGAGGCUGGCUUUGAACUCUUGAUCUUCCUGCCUGAGCCUCCCAAGCCGCUGGAAUUAUAGGUGUGCGCCAAUGAACCCAGCUACCCUUCCUUCGUUUUAAGGAAGAAGUGUUUUGAAC
rnacentral:lncRNA from 1 species